UACAGAGGUCUCAAGCGUUGUUCGGAAUUAUUGGGCGUAAAGGGCGCGUAGGCGGUCUUGUAAGUCAGCUGUGAAAGCCCGGGGCUCAACCCCGGGUCGGCCGUGCCGACUGUUGAACUAGAGGGCUGUAGAGGCAGACGGAAUUCCGGGUGUAGCGGUGGAAUGCGUAGAGAUCCGGAGGAAGACCGGUGGCGAAGGCGGUCUGCUGG
rnacentral:rRNA from 1 species